rnacentral:rRNA from 1 species
GACGAACGCUGGCGGCGUGCUUAACACAUGCAAGUCGAACGGAAAGGCCCUGCUUUUGUGGGGUGCUCGAGUGGCGAACGGGUGAGUAACACGUGAGUAACCUGCCCUUGACUUUGGGAUAACUUCAGGAAACUGGGGCUAAUACCGGAUAGGAGCUCCUGCUGCAUGGUGGGGGUUGGAAAGUUUCGGCGGUUGGGGAUGGACUCGCGGCUUAUCAGCUUGUUGGUGGGGUAGUGGCUUACCAAGGCUUUGACGGGUAGCCGGCCUGAGAGGGUGACCGGCCACAGUGGGACUGAGCUACGGCACAGAGUCCUACGGGAGGCAGCAGUGGGGAAUAUUGCAUAAUGGGCGGAAGCCUGAUGCAGCAACGCCGCGUGCGGGAUGACGGCCUUCGGGUUGUAAACCGCUUUCGCCUGUGACGAAGCGUGAGUGACGGUAAUGGAUAAAGAAGCACCGGCUAACUACGUG